CUAAUGGUGCCACUCAAUAUGGGCCAAGCAUUCAAACACUAAGGAAUCCCACCUGUGUACUCCCUCUGCUGUGGACCCACCUGCUGCUGUGACUUCUCCUCCAUGACUGACGGUAUCUCUCAAACUGUGAGACAAAAUAAAUGCUUCUUCCUUUAAGCUGCUCUUGGCUUGCAUUCAGUCACACCAAUGGAUAUUGUACCUAUUAAAGAAAAUUGAUGUUGAAAAUGA
rnacentral:sRNA from 1 species